UUGUAUGAAUAUUUCUUAAUAAAAAAAUAAAUAAAUAAAAAAAAUAAUAAUCUCAUCUGAACUCGGAAGUAAAGUGGGGUCGGGCCUGGUUAGUACUUGGAUGGGAGACCGCCUGGGAAUACCAGGUGCUGUAAGCU
rnacentral:rRNA from 1 species